ACCUGGCCCCGCGCCAUUUCCACGCCACAACGGUGCCCGUACCUUGGCGCGCCGCUCAGCAAGCAACUCCUGCUGCGCUUGCCAUUGCGCCUCCUUUUUGCGCUCCGCGUCCUCCUUACUGCAGCAGGGGGCACAGCCGUGUCUUAGCGCAGGGAGUUGAGUGGACGCGAGGAAUGCUCUUCGGAAGUUCCGCCGUGGCGAUGAGUGAGCAAUUUUCCAUUCAGAUCUCCCGCAACUUUAGAGAUGAAUGACGUUGUGCCACAAACGUAGGCUGGCGAAAGGCAUCGCAUCCUGUGGCUAGCCAAGCCGGGAGAUAUUAGGUUUGCUUGCGUGGCACCUUUCGACGAGACCGAAUAUGUCUUUCCCCACCCCGGUAAUUACAAGUCGCCUUAUUUUCUCCAGAGCUCCCAGAUCACUUACUUGCCACCGAAGAGAGCACGAACGCUCACGGCUUUGCGGCUAGAGCGGGCAACCGCUGGCCUGCAUAUGCACGAUCACUCAGAUGAUCAGUAGCUAAAGCUGUAGAAUACGAACUCGGCACUCGCCAUCUUGCCUGUUGGCGCAGGUGCCAAGAGAGACCCUGGACGCAAGCAUGCUCGGUGUCGGUAGACGUCGGACCAAGAGGGAGUGCGGAGAGAUAAGAUAUGCUGCAAUAGUGCUGUAAUGUACAAAAUAAUCGAGUAUGCAGGUCUGAUAUGGACUGUGUGUGGAAUGCCAAAUGUUUAUGAAUUUGGGAGGAGUACGGCAAACAUUGGUCAAAGUGUCGGGCCAG
rnacentral:lncRNA from 1 species